AUACGGAGGAUCCGAGCGUUAUCCGGAUUUAUUGGGUUUAAAGGGUGCGCAGGCGGCCAUUUAAGUCAGCGGUUAAAUCGUGGGGCUCAACCCCAUUCUGCCGUUGAUACUGGGUGGCUUGAUUGCGGUCGAGGUUGGCGGAAUUCGUUGUGUAGCGGUGAAAUGCAUAGAUAUGACGAAGAACACCGAUUGCGUAGGCAGCUGACCAGACCGCAAAUGACGCUCAUGCACGAAAGUGCGGGGAUCGAACAGGAUUAGAUACCCUGGUAGUCCGCACAGUAAACGAUGAAUACUUGUUUUCGGCGAUAUAAUGUCGGAGGCAAAGCGAAAGCGAUAAGUAUUCCACCUGGGGAGUACGCCAGCAACGGUGAAACUCAAAGGAAUUGACGGGG
rnacentral:rRNA from 1 species